GUGGGGAAUUUUGGACAAUGGGCGCAAGCCUGAUCCAGCAAUGCCGCGUGCAGGAAGAAGGCCUUCGGGUUGUAAACUGCUUUUGUACGGAACGAAACGGCUCUGGUUAAUACCCGGGGCUAAUGACGGUACCGUAAGAAUAAGCACCGGCUAACUACGUGCCAGCAGCCGCGGUAAUACGUAGGGUGCAAGCGUUAAUCGGAAUUACUGGGCGUAAAGCGUGCGCAGGCGGUUUUGUAAGACAGGCGUGAAAUCCCCGGGCUCAACCUGGGAAUUGCGCUUGUGACUGCAGUGCUGGAGUACGGCAGAGGGGGAUGGAAUUCUGCGUGUAGCAGUGAAAUGCGUAGAUAUGCGGAGGAACACCGAUGGCGAAGGCAGUCCCCUGGGCCUGUACUGACGCUCAUGCACGAAAGCGUGGGGAGCAAACAGGAUUAGAAACCCCAGUAGUCC
rnacentral:rRNA from 1 species